rnacentral:lncRNA from 1 species
GAGAUACAAAAGGGGGUUCUGCAUUUUGUAGGAUGUGUUAUCGUAUCAAUUCUUCUAAGAUUCUAAGUUCUGAUACUCUAUAUGUGAUCAUGUGAUGGCUGUUUUUGGUUGCAAAACAAUUAGUCUGCAAUAAAUGGGUUAACUUAGUCCUAACUUAUUGUGGAGUAUGCUACCCCAUAUAUGUUGGAAUAGUUUACUCAGGUUUACCUCCAAAACAAUUUGUCCAAGGAUCGUCGAACCGGCACCGGUAGGCAUACCGGUCGGCCACCGGAUCCGUUCAGUACCAAUUCGGAUCGGUACCAAAUCGGUACCAUUGGUUCGGCUUCCAAAAGCCCAAAAAAAUUUGGCCUAACUGGUUCGGGCCGGUACGGGUCGGUACUAUUUUUUAAUGCCGAAUCGGUUCGGUACGGGCUAAACGGGCCAAUUCAGCAUUUCUUGAUCUGUGUCUACUUUGGUAAUGCCUAUGUUAUCCUUGGGAUAAACUGACUUUGAAAAGAUUGUUUGUCAGGUUAAAGUGGAAUAGACUAGUUAAAGUGGUCUUAUUUUGCUUUAACCCCUGUAUGGCAACACAGCCUGACAUCUAUAUAAUGGUAAAUUAGAAAAUUCCAGGAAUAUGAAUACUGAAACUUCUUAGCCUCUAAAUGUAGGAUGAUAGCCCUUAUCCUUGUAUGUUUAGUGAUCUUUGUUUGUGCUUAUGCUAUUAAGGUACAAUGCAAAUGACUAC